GACGAACGCUGGCGGCGUGCUUAACACAUGCAAGUCGAACGAUGAAGCCGGAGCUUGCUCUGGUGAAUUAGUGGCGAACGGGUGAGUAACACAUGAGUAACCUGCCCUUGACUCUGGGAUAACUGCGGGAAACUGUAGCUAAUACCGGAUACGACCCUCGGAGGCAUCUCCUGGGGGUGGAAAGAAUUUCGGUCAAGGAUGGACUCGCGGCCUAUCAGCUAGGUGGUGAGGUAAAGGCUCACCAAGGCGACGACGGGUAGCCGGCCGGAGAGGGUGACCGGCCACACUGGGACUGAGACACGGCCCAGACUCCUACGGGAGGCAGCAGUGGGGAAUAUUGCACAAUGGGCGCAAGCCUGAUGCAGCAACGCCGCGUGAGGGAUGACGGCCUUCGGGUUGUAAACCUCUUUUAGCAGGGAAGAAGCGAAAGUGACGGUACCUGCAGAAAAAGCACCGGCUAACUACGUGCCAGCCGCCGCGGUAA
rnacentral:rRNA from 1 species